CCUUUUGCCCGUGACGCACGACGCACUUGCCUCUGGCGCGGUGAGAUAAGGCGGCUAACUGCGGAGCUCAAGCUAGCGAACGUUUUUGGUGAAUUAAAAAAAUUAUUUUUGGUGAAAAAACUGGAGUUGGCUUGCUACUUGUCAGAUAACGGAAAACGUAGAAUGUAUCGUUUCUCCUUCAGCACGGAGUCGCGGUUUAAGCAGAAAUGAAAUAUAACAAGAGGAAAAUAUCGGCGCUCUCUGAGUCCACCUUUCUCUGAAUAAACUGAGCGGGAGGAGACAGACAGUUCAAAGAUGCCGCGUAAAGAGAGACGUCAGAAACAAAAAAGAAAGGAUCUGCUAGAAGCAGCCAAAGGUAGUGGAUUCUUGACCAACUGGGUCAGAACCAGUACUGCAGUUCCACGUUAAAGUUUGAUGCAGCUGUUUUUCUGAAUGGACCGUCUUCAUCUCCACUGCAAGUACAGCAAUCCAGGCAGAUGUUCUUU